rnacentral:lncRNA from 1 species
AUGCUAUCCUGCACUGAGCUGUGUCUCCGUGGAAAUGCUCCGUUUCCGACACCUUGUGCCAGGCUGCCCCCUACAUGGAUGUCUUCUCACUUUUCCAGAGCACUGACAUCCCACCCUCGGCUGCCUGUCCGAGUGGAUACUAACCUCACACUGAUCUUGCUCCAAAAUCGCCCUCCGGAUCCCCGUGGCUCUCCUGUGCUGAGGGGGGACCCCUGCCACACUAGCUGCACCGGAUUGUCUACGGCGAUACAGUCAAAAAUACAUUAUGAUUUUAAAAAUGCUUCGUGGUCAAGUAAGUUUGGCAGACACAGAUAUACCACAUCCUUCGAGAAUUUGAGAUCGACCACAUCAAGCCCACAUUCCUCUUCAAGACUUUCAGAUAAGCUAUCUUUAUCUGGAUUAUGUUGCCUGAUGGCUGAUUCCAUCAUUGCUGCACCUUUCGUAAACCUCUGGUCAUGUGGAAAUGCCUGGUGUUCUUGUACUCCUAGAAAUUUCACUAGAGGAAAUACUCUUCCAUUGGUCUUCUGCAAUCAACAACUUUCUUUUACCUCAGGAUGUUCUCACUGA